AGACAUUGCAAAGUUGCAAAAUUUCACAGUAGCAGGGAAGGUCUAGCUGAACAGCGGUGUUAUAAUAAUGGCAUUGACCCUCAUGUUUUGAAAUGUAAGGGGUUAUCUCAAGCCGAGAGUUUUCAGUAGAUCCCUUGAAACACAACCCUUCACUCCCCCGGAAGAACCAUUCUGCAUGUUAUGAUUCAGGUUUCAUUCUAGUCAUCCCUGACAGGUAAGCCUCGUAUCGGAGUAGAUUUGCCCUUUACACAGGUAUUCAAGUGCAUGCGCCAGUAGCUCCUCUUUAUCUGCUUCUCACUUCACAUAAGAAUAGGCCCCAGUAAAAACAUUUUCAACAUUUUCAGUUGAAAACUUAUGUUCACAUACAGGUUAUGGUGCUGUACACAUGUUUAGGCCUAAAAUACAUUUUUACCCAAAAGUACAUUCAAUUUGCGGUGAAAUGUCAAAUCUCCAACAGUUUUAGCCCAGAUUAAAGUAGCCACCAGCUUUAUAUAAAGUAGCCAGCCAGCCAACCUCUUUCAGUCAAAGAAUGAAAUCAUCCAUUAAACAUACAUAGAUAAGUUGCUAUAGUUUUAACAUAGACUUUCUGAAAGCUUGCCCUGCACCUUGCUACCAAACUCACUACAUAAUGAGAGUCAGAAAAACCACAUAAAAUGCAUUCAUUCAUUUCAUCAUCUGAGAAUACAUUUAAAUAUAACUUUUUUUAUCCGAGCUCAUUAUCCUGAAUUCUGUGGUUACUGAAAUGAAGACUUACAUAGUUUUCUGUACUAUUGGCAGUGACCUCUCCUAAUUUACUGUCUCAGAUAUUGUUUAGACAGUCUCAAAUAUAUGUUAUAUGGAAAUGAAUUAAAACUGCUUGGCUGGUGAGUCAUUCCAAGGACCUUUUUAUGUAUAUUAUAAAUUAAAUUAAAUAAAAUAAAAUAAAAAACAUCCUGCAAAUCAUAUUUUUAUUUUCUAUCCCCAACUGGUAAAAUUUAAGAUGCUUCAAAUUUAUCUUACACCAUGAAGUCGUCGUAGUUUUUGUAGAAAGCCAUAGGGUAGGUUUGGAGGCAUUUAUUGAGCUUAGCCCACCCCCUUCAAUGCAGUAACACACCUGAUUUGGUCAAUGCAGAACAUCACCUUAAAAUGUGUACUAGGGCGCUCUCUGGUGGUGAAAAUAUUUAUUGCUUGCACUGGACAAAAAAACUGAAAUUUCCUGUGAGAUUUACCUCUGAAAGAGAUUUGAAUUGGACUUUAAUGUUCUUGGCAUCUUUAAGACAAACAGUCUUACUCUUACAAAUGCAGUCUGUCAGGCAUUUAACAAAUGCUCUUAUCCAGAACAACUUACACGGUUUACAUUCUUUACAUGUAGUCAAUUUAUACAGUUAGAUAUUUACUUUACUCGAAUACAACUGCAGUGCCACACCUGGAUAUCAAACCUUUGGGCGUCAGACAUGCAAACACAGUUACCUGUCCCUUUUCUGCUGUUGAAAACAAUUUCCUGACAAGUCUGUGCAGUUUUAAUAUUAUUUCAGGUCGAAAAUAGCUUUGCAAUAUAAAGGGAUUACGCUUUUAGACACAGGAUAUUACAAUUAGGAUGUUCUUUUUGGAAAACUAACAGUUGUUUCUGUGAAGAUGGCUUCUUCACAGCACAGGGUUCUCAUAUAAUGGAGUAUGAGUUGGACUUUUAUUUUUUAAAAGGCCCAGCUCAUAAUUGACCUUGUUGGAGCCUCUAUGCAGGAAAUGGUUGCAGUAGUUGGAAUUCCUAGGCUUUGACGCACUUUUAAAUGCUGGCAGUUGGUGACCAGGGUGAUUUGGUCAGUGACUUGGGUAGUUGACAGUGGGUUUAGGAGCAGCUGGCUAGUGUACUUUUUGGCGGUGCGACCAGGGAUGUUUUUCACCUCAGUUUGGUGUUGCCUUCACUAGGUUUUUUUUUCCAGCCUUGACCUCACUCCAGUUGAUGAAUGUUUGGUGGAGAUUCCAGUUGCUUGGAGCAUUGGGGUCUAGACGGCACUUUGUAUGGUAUGCAUUGAUUUUAUCACAUGAUCACAGGAUUCCGUUGCCUCCCCUUGAGCACAUCCUGUGUUGCACAUGCCAGUAAAAGAUCAAUUUGGAUAUUAUUAAUUUUUUCCAUCCAUCCUGCUCAGCACAGUUUAUUGUGGAUGGCGGUGGCUUCAAUGCUGUUGGAGUUUAUGUGCUCAAGGAAACUCAUCUUGUUAUUUCUUUUAUUAUGCCAGUUAGAUGCAUGAACAUUUACAAAGUCAUCAUUGAUAGAAUUUCUAUUGAUAGAAUAGUAUUCCUGCAGUAAAGAUGGUAAACUGCAUUGGGGUGGUGAAUGGGACCCACAGAAAUUCCUGUCUUCUUUUAUAGCCUGUGCUUCUCCCAGUGGUACGGUGUCGCUUAUAUUCUCUCCUUGUGACCUACUGAAUGAUAAUCCCAUUGCAGUACAUUCAGUUGUUUAACCCUGCCGCUAAUCAUUUUCCUUGAUGUUGUUGGCGUGUCCACAUAUCACUUUGUUGCCCUGUCCCUUUAAUUGCAUCAUAAAAUUGGUAUAAGCUGAUGUAACAGCAUGGAGAAUUGUUAACUGAAACUGUUGUAUGGAAAGUCUUCUUACAGCUGUGUCUUUGCUAUUUGCCUGGUCAUGGUUGGGGGAAGGCAUUGGUGGACCUUGUUAUCAGGACACUGGGAUCAGGAUGUCAUCGGGGAAAGCGGCAACCAACUGGUAGACCCUGCUUUGGAUCAUGGGAGAGGUGGCUAGAAUUCUAAAUGUUGCCCAAUCUCUGCUGAAGUCUUUAUAUGGAUUGGAUCUGUGGUUUUGCCCCUGGAGAGAAUGAUUGCCUUCCUGUCAUGCAGGAGAUGGAGGACUUUCACUUCAAGGUGACUACCGCUAUCAUAUGCAUGUCCUUUGAGAUGCUGGAGUUUUCCAACCCCUCAUCUGAUCCUCUCCCCAGGUAACCUUCUCCUAGCAAAGCAAUUAUUUAUUCACUGUACUUUAAUGUAAUUUCAAUACUUCAAAUACUAUUUUUAUGAAUGGCAAAUUGUGAGCUGUAAAAAGCUGGGGUACAAAACUCUUCUUUGAACUUACCAUUGCUCUCAACCAGCGUUCAUUCAUUUCCCUUGAUUAACAAGUGUGCCAAUGAUCUGAAUAAUGAAUUGGCAAGUAAACACACAGCUUCUUUCUUCACAUAAUAUUAGGGAGAUUAAACAAUAAAUUUAAUUUAGGAAAGUCUGUUUUAUAAGUACAAUUAACAAAAAAAGACACAACUCCGUUACCUACUACAUUACUUGCCAAACAGCCUAAUUGGGGAGAACUGGCUAUAUCUGAUGGUAUAUUGUGAAUGAAUUGUUUUACUGUUAAUGAAGGAAAAUUACUCAAAACAGGUUGAGACUAAUAAUCAGCUUGAGGGUAAGUUUUCAGCCCCAUCAAUUUUCAGCUCAGUGGCUGCCAGUGAUUUUCACACAGCUCUGAUGAAGAGGCGAUUUCAGUGGAUGACAGGGUCAGUUAAAAUGCUCCUCUGUGAAUAUGAUAUUGCUUCAUAAUGCAAAUCAACAAUAUCAUCAUUGUAUUUAGUACAUUGUAAAAAAUAUUAUUGUUGCAAAUUGCCACAAGUCAGUAAAUUUCAUUUUAUGUCUCGACUCUGAGUGAGCAAAGAGUAGCCUAAAAGUGAACAUCUGAAAUAUGUGGACAAAGCACUUUCAAAAACAAGCAUAUGUUUAAGCAGCAUCAGGAAAUUCACACAGGAAAGAAACCAUACAAAUGUACUGGAUUUCCAAAGAGUUUCAGACAUUCAAAUGUCCUGAAACAACAUCUGACUUCAUACAGGUGAGAAGUCGUUCUCCUGUGCUGAUUGUGGAAUAAGCUUUAGUCACUUGACAAGCCUUACAAGACACCAGGAAAAUCACACAGGGCAGAAACCAGUCACUUGCACAGAGUGUAAUAAAAGUUUCAGAUCCUUAAGUCGGCUAACAUCACAUCAUAACUUCCACUCGACAAAGAAACUGCACAGUUGCAGUGUGUCAGCAGACAUUUUUACAUUUGGGACGCUUAAAACUACAUCUAAGAAUGCACAUGGUUGAGCAGUUACAUAGUGCACAUUGAGUGUGGGAAGAAUUUUGCUCAUGUUGGGUCUUUAAAACAGCACAUGAGUAUUCACAGUGCAGAAAAAGACAUUCCUACGCUGACUGUGGAAAGAUUUCUAAGUACUUGACGGCCUUUAAAAUUCAUCAGCGAAUUCAUACUGGAGAGAAACUAUACUCUUGCACAGAAUGUGGGAAGUGUUUUAAAUCUGCUAGUAAUAUGGGAAAACAUGAGGGCGUUCACACAGGUGAGAAGCCAUACACAUGCACUGUAUGUAAGAGGAGUUUUAGGAUAUUAGGCAAUUUAAAGACUCAUCAGAAAAUCCAUAGUGGGGAAAGACGGUAUCCAUGCCCUCAGUGCCCAAAGACUUUCAAAAUUCAAUGGGAUGUAAUAAAGCACCAAAGUGAAAAGAGUGUGGAAAGAGAUUCAGCCAUAUAACAUGCUUUAAAAAUACCAGCAAAUUAAUGCAAAGGAGAAAUCUUACACUAAUCUAAAUGUCCCAGGAUUAUCACACAUUUGGGGUGCUUUAAACAUGAAACGGUACAUUCAAAAGAGAAUCCACGACCUUGUACUAAAUGUGGUAAAGGUUUUAAGUAUUUAGCAAGCUUUAAGAAACACCAGGGAAGUCACAUAGGUGAGGAUCAAUCAUGAAAGUUCCAGUGUGUUGUGUUGCUUGAAGUUUACUGACAAUAUUUUCAUCAGCUUGGAUAAAAAACAUGUUUUUGCAGUUUCAAGUAAGUUUUUGUGUAAACCUACUGGAUUCAGUGAAAUUCAUAGUUUUGUUAUUGCUUGCAAGUGAAUAACACAAUUAUGAAGGCUCCAAGACCUCUGUGUUUCUCAAGAUGUUAUUUUGACUUUUACUAAGAAAUUGUGAAGAAAGACAAGAUUAUGGACAGUGUCAGAUACUAGUAUUAUGAGUAGAUGUAGGUCUGUACUUUAUUUUCUGUAGGUGAAUGCAUCCUAAAACGAGGCAUAAUUAUUGCAGGAAACACCUGUACAUUUGAGUA